UACAGAGGGGGCGAGCGUUGUUCGGAAUUACUGGGCGUAAAGGGCGCGUAGGCGGCCUUCUAAGUCGAACGUGAAAUCCCCGGGCUCAACCCGGGAACUGCGUCCGAUACUGGAUGGCUUGAGUUCGGGAGAGGGGUGCGGAAUUCCAGGUGUAGCGGUGAAAUGCGUAGAUAUCUGGAGGAACACCGGUGGCGAAGGCGGCAUCCUGGACCGAUACUGACGCUGAGGAGCGAAAGCCAGGGGAGCAAACGGG
rnacentral:rRNA from 1 species